UCGAUUUGACAGGAGCUUACACUGUAAAAUGUAAACAUGUUUUCAAUUCUUCUUCUUCUUCAAUUUUAUUUUAUGUCAGUUGCAUAGGAAAUUUCAGCAGGUGCAGUUGUGAUAGUGUGAACAUUCAACGAACGGUGGAAAACUCAUAUAAUUGUGAUUCUCCUGUGAUUAAAGAAGAUUAAUAUGAAACGCGGGUGGUGGAGCGCCAGAAGGGAGUUUGUGAGCAGGAAAGAAAUUCAGUGGAGGAAUAAUUCUUUAUUGGAUUCUCAUGGAUCGUCAGACGAAGAUGAUAAUGGAUUUCUUGUUAAAAAAACAAGACAAGGGGAUUUGCAAUUUCAUGAAGAGGAGAUAAUUUUAAAUGCACUUGGCUUACAGGACGUGGUGUUACCGUUACUUUUCAAAAAAACUGAGGAAAUCAUCGAUUCAUCAACCACGUUAACGGAUAUAGAAAUAGUAGGAGACCCACAUGAUUCCGUAACAUCA